rnacentral:lncRNA from 1 species
CUUACACGUUAGUACGUGAUUGCCUAGUACGGAUUAGAGAGAUGGCUGCCUUUCCAGGACGUGCAGCUCUUCUUAGAGAGAAUGGGGUUACGUUGGGAAAUUUGGGUUUAGUCAUCACGAUCAUUUUGGCUGCCAGUGACAAUUUCUUCACAUUGUUGUCUAAUACCCCGUGUGUGUUCAAUUUCCCCCAAUUUUCUAAUGAGUGUCUUUUUAUA